UCGGCUGCCCUCGAAAAGUAGUUCGCUGGAAUUAAUAAUAAGCAAAGUGAAGGCAAUAUAAGGUUGGGAGCUGCACUUUUCUAACUCUCAAAGACCCAAGGAAAAAGGGAUAUGCCAGGUGUAUGCAUACUGUAUACACUGGUAUACCUCGUGAAAUAUCGAUGUACAGGUCAAAUGUGGAAAGGGAGGUCGAUGAAGGCGGAAUUUUCAAAUUCAUUAAAAAAUACAGGUUUUGGAAAGUCCGAAAUGAGCUGAAUACAGAUCAUAUACAGCAGUAUACACCGGUAUACAACGUAUACACGAUACACAGGUCAAAAGAAAAUAUGCAGGUGCUUGAGGAGCUGAAUCGGAGAAUAUAUGUCGAACAUACAGUCCGAUAUACAAUGAAAAGAACCGAAUGUAGCCCCAUAUAUGGUGGUAUACGCAACACGUAUACACAGCUUCAUUCUAAAGGGAAAUAGGGCCAAAGCCCAAAGAAAUCUGCAGGAGGCCCAAUUUUCUUUGGGUCAUUUUUAAAUGUGGCAGGCUUCCAGAUCCAGUACUUGGGCUUGGCCCAAGUACAAAUAUUUCUUCUCCCUAUUAUUAACUAUUUGUUAUUAUCAUUAUAUUGACUAACGUUUUGGUUGAAUUUUAUUAAUUCUCUAA